rnacentral:rRNA from 1 species
UACGUAGGGGGCUAGCGUUGUCCGGAUUUAUUGGGCGUAAAGAGCGUGUAGGCGGCCAGAUAGGUCUGCUGUGAAAACUCGAGGCUCAACCUCGAGACGUCGGUGGAAACCGUUUGGCUAGAGUCCGGAAGAGGAGAGUGGAAUUCCCGGUGUAGCGGUGAAAUGCGCAGAUAUCAGGAGGAACACCGGUGGCGAAGGCGGGUCUCUGGGCCGGAACUGACGCUAAGGAGCGAAAGCGUGGGGAGCGAACAGG